rnacentral:rRNA from 1 species
UACGUAGGCAGCAAGCGUUGUUCGGAGUUACUGGGCGUAAAGGGUGCGUAGGCGGCUUUUUAAGUUUGGUGUGAAAUCUCCCGGCUCAACUGGGAGGGUGCGCCGAAUACUGAGAGGCUAGAGUGUGGGAGAGGAAAGUGGAAUUCCUGGUGUAGCGGUGAAAUGCGUAGAUAUCAGGAGGAACACCGGUGGUGUAAACGGCUUUCUGGACCAUAACUGACGCUGAUGCACGAAAAGCGUGGGUAGCAA